rnacentral:rRNA from 1 species
CCUACGGGUGGCAGCAGUGGGGAAUCUUCCGCAAUGGGCGAAAGCCUGACGGAGCAACGCCGCGUGAUCGAAUGAAGGCCUUCGGGUUGUAAAGAUCUGUUGACAGGGACGAAUAAGCAAUGCGAAUAGUUUUGUGUAUGACGGUACCUGUUUAGAAAGCUCCGGCUAACUACGUGCCUGCAGCCGCGGUAAUACGUAGGGGGCAAGCGUUAUCCGGAAUUAUUGGGCGUAAAGAGUACGUAGGUGGCAACCUAAGCGCAGGGUUUAAGGCAAUGGCUCAACCAUUGUUCGCCCUGCGAACUGGGAUGCUUGAGUGCAGGAGAGGAAAGCGGAAUUCCUAGUGUAGCGGUGAAAUGCGUAGAUAUUAGGAGGAACACCAGUGGCGAAGGCGGCUUUCUGGACUGUAACUGACACUGAGGUACGAAAGCGUGGGGAGCAAACAGGAUUAGAUACCCCUGUAGUC